GGCAGAAAGAAACAAAAAUGAAAAGAAAAUUGCAGUUGAGGCUAAAGUGUGAGAGUGUGUUUGUGUGUAUGUAUAUCUGUGUGUAUUUUUAAAGGUUUCUUUGAACUGCCUUUGUGCUGAGUAGGCAGAGCUCCUUGCCAAUGCUAGUCACGGUUUAAGGAACUUUGAGUUAACCUCUUAUAUCGAAUGAAUCUUUUCAUUUGGAAACCAAUAAAUCUCAAUCUCUAGCCACCUUUUGUAGAGCAGGCUGGGGCUUACCAAGGCGAGGCUGAAGCUUAUAAUAAAGAAGAGAUAAAGUUUGCCAAAGUUUUUUUUUUUCUUCCCCCCCUUCUUCUUCUCUUGUAAAUAAAAGUUUUGGAGAUGGCAGCAGUUGGAAGCAAUCCGGAGAAGGACUCGGAUCUGUGCAUUGUUUCACAGAGCAUCCAGAAGGAAAGAAGGUGAAGAGUGAAGCAAGAGGAGAGAAGAAUGUCCCUGUAUUGCUUUCCAGUCUGUCAUGGUCAUGGACUCCAUUAGGCUACAGGACCCCCUGUUAGCGUCAUCGCUCCUGGUCUCUUGGAAGUGGCCUUACAGAGCACAAGCUCUUUCUGAUUUCCUCGGGAGUAGUUUGACUGAUUCUGAUAUUUUUGAGUUGCUCAGGACCCUAAAAAUCCCAGAUCCUUAA
rnacentral:lncRNA from 1 species